rnacentral:tRNA from 1 species
GCGCGAGUGGCGGAAUUGGCAGACGCGCAGGAUUUAGGUUCCUGUACCGCAAGGUGUGGGGGUUCGAUUCCCCCCUCGCGCA